UCAAUCUCGUGCGGCUAUAUAUACCGCCGGUCCCUCUAAGAAGAUUUUCAUUGUACGCCGGUAGUGAAGACCGCGAAACGCGCGCCGAAGCACGCGCACGCGGGCCCUCGUGAUACCGGUUGCACGUCUAUUUAGUAGGCUAGAGUUACGUUCGUUAC
rnacentral:rRNA from 1 species